rnacentral:misc_RNA from 1 species
CUCCGACGGGCACGGGCAUUGCAGCCCCUGAAGAGCCGGAGCGGCUUGAAGCCAGCCGAGAUACAUGCUCGGGGGGCGGCGGCGCGGAGAAGAAGCUUUCCGCCCCCGCUUCCGCGGCCCAGGUGGCGCCACCUGCGCCAACGUCAACGCGAAUAAAGCUCCCUCGGCAAUAGUGUUCGCGCAAAUCGUCACCGGAGAAUGGUGGUCCGGGUUGAGGCCACGCCGUGUCGAUGGUCGCGCGGUCGGCCCAGCUUCGAGAAAAUCCACCGAACGUAACGCGCGUCGGUUAUCACACGUUAUUGUGCACGGAAGAGAGCCAGGCUGAACAGCCGGGUAAACAGACCAGUGAUAUCCACCCAGUGGAGAGCUGAUAACGGAACUGCGAAAGCGGAUCGGGACUGAAGAAAAACCAGGCAUAGCCGUUCACGGGGUUAUGGGUGUGGAUCGCGCUGAGUCUUCGUUCCGCUGCCCGGUGUUGUUCGAGCUUAUUUUCACGGUUGGAAACAGCGGUCGGUUGGCGGUAGGCAGAUGAAGAUCGGGUGAGGAGUUGAACCUCGGAUACUUACUGCAAGAGUGUUAUCUGGUGACAGACUGUGGGACGCGCAGACCGUGGUGAUAAUAUGUCGUGUUGGGUGAGCAGCGGGCCCGAUAUUAGUCCAAAAGUGACGCUAGCGGUGAACAGAGACUGGUGCGACCCUCCUCGACGGAAUUGACUCCCCUCAAUACCCAGACAAGUGGAGAUCGAAUUGUCGGGACUGUGGUCCGAAACCGCGGACCCUGGAUGUGGGGUUGUUUGCUGAUGUUGGUAGACCGUAGUGCGCGGAAAUUUUUUUAUUAGUCAAUCGAAUCUUUCGGCACUCACUGGGUGACUUUGAGUACUGAUCCGUGAGCGUGUGUGUGGCAUUGAACGUUCGUCCUGUUGAAAUAAUCCUGAAACAAUAAUUUUUUCAGUCUGAAGACAACUUAAUACAGCUAGAGGAUAACCAUAAGUACACUAAAAAAAAAAAUAAAAAAAUAGUGCUGCAUCAUAACGACGAAGCCGCCAACUGUUACUGUUCCGUUUUUGAGCCGAAUUAUCUCUACGGUUUUCUUAUUCCCUCCCUCUGUCUCUCUUUCUCCUCUAUCUAUUUCUUACUUUUUUUCUUAUAUUUUGACGGGAUUUAUACCGAUGCACGAGGAAAGUGCGUACGACCUGUUUUUCGUUCGAAACUGUACAUAGAUACCUACUACUCGCGGUGCUCCACAUAUCGUGGACUUGUGACCUGACCCGUUUGCCCGUUUGGAAUCAAUGCUCCUGGUGCUGCUGGUGGAAUCUCGUCCUCUGUUGAAGAAUCCUGGAUCCUUGACCGGCGAAGGAUCGUCACCUGAAAGCUGAAGUAGUAAAACGAAGAAAAACCGUAGAACUUUAGAGGUGCAUGCCAAGGUGAUCUGCAGUUUGAGAAGUGAAAACCGUCAUACGCUGGAAGUGAAUUAUAGGGUUGUAGGUGAAUCCUAUUUCACGAUUAGAGAGGGAGAGAGAUAUAGAGAGAAUUACCGCCAGCUAUAUAACGAUGGUUGUGUGCAUGGCGUGGAUUCAUUCAGAACGCGUUGCCGACUAUUGAUCCUGACUACGUUUACCCGUUAAGGAGGAUUUAUUUGUAUCCCCCUCCCCCCCAUCCCACCUCAACCCCCCGUCACCCCUAGUCAGUGCAGUGGUGCAGCAACGACAGCAGCAAUACAAGUGUGACGUGUGGAGCGCGUUACGACGGUAUAAAUAGUGACAAGAAAGACGAGGCAGGAAGAUGAAGAGAGAGGCAGAGAGAGAGAGUGCAUGGCUGGAGGUUUAAUCUAGCCUUGAUAAUACACCUAUUCAAGCCGCGGUUAAAUGAUGGUAAAACCGCCUCACAUUCUGCGAUCAUGAUUUGUUAUACGAACGAUGCGAAUGACGCAAGUGCAAGAUACCUCAAAUCAAAGGACAUUCGCAAAAUCGACGAUUCACUUUCAGAGACGACGAUCAGUGUAGUUGUUGGACCGCCAGUUGUAGAAUUUUUUAACCUCUGCAAGCUACUGCAGCGUGCUUCCGGAUAUUGUAACGAUAAUAAUAAUAACAAUUAUAAUAAUAAUAAUAGUAAUAACAACAAUAAUAUUAAUAGUAAUAAUUAUUGUAUAUUUAGUGCUGCAGUGACGAUAGUACUGAAUCGGUGCAGUUUAUUACAUAGAAGAGUUUGUUUGAAGAGAUCGACGCCCUUUAUUGUAACGGGUGCAAAUUAUUGGUGGAGGAUUUGUAACAGUGGACUUAAUGAGUUCAUAGUGAUUUGUCUAUUAACGAUCAUAAUCGAGGCGUUCCUCGGCUUUUUUUCGUCGUCUUCCGAGGUUUUUCUUGUCUCAUUUUCACGCCUUGUUCGCCGUGUUUGGCUCCUCGGUGGCGGAUGACUCCGCCGACGAGUCGCCCCGUAGUUGUAGUCAACGCCCCAUGUGUCUCGAUCAGCCUCCUGGAGAACAGGCGCCCACUAUCCCGGCAUUACGGACCGCGGUUUGUUCCACAGCUCCAGCUGUUGCCCCUAACGUGCCGGCAUUUUUUUAUACCUUUAUCAAUUAUUAAGACGGAAACAAAAGUGGAGGACAGGGUUGCGCCCCCGGGAUCAGUCGGGCCGUGAUGGCGGACCUCCCAGACAUGUCGCACCUAACUCCAGAAGAAAGGCGCAUCAUCGAGAGCGUCAUGAUGCGCCAAAAACAGGAGGAAGAACGGGAAAACGAGAUUAUGAGGCGAAAACAAGACGAAGUUCAGGUAUUGGAGGAAACGAUUCGGGCGCGGUCAGAGCAGCACAAAAAGGCAGGGGUGGAGCUUGAUGCCACCUGCCACAUCUGUCUCAAGACUAAGUUCGCCGACGGUGUUGGCCACAUCUGCAAUUACUGUAACAUCCGGUGCUGCGCGAGAUGCGGUGGAAAAGUUACACUUCGUUCGACAAAGGUGAUAUGGGUCUGCAUACUGUGCCGGAAAAAGCAGGAACUGUUGUCGAAGACCGGGCAAUGGAUGACGAAGUCUGGAUUAGGCGCAGCGGACACCGCGAUGCUCAGACGAAUGCAAGAGGAUAUGCAGGGUGUUGGACUAACCAGUCACGUCGAACAAACGCAAGAUAAAAGACCGAAACUUGAGAAGGCACAUAGUGCUGCUGAGAAGGAGAACUUACCUUUGCUACAGCGGAGCGGAAGUCUUCUACGAAGGCAGUACUCUCAACAGGAACAGGUGCCUGGUCGCCGUAUGUCAACGAGUGACAGUGGUGUCGAGAUGUCGGUAUCCCCACACGCCAGGUCGUUACCGACCCCCCACGUGGUUGUGGGCUCCUACGGGAUGCAGCAGACGCCUCGGCAUCCGGCUGCAUUCCCCGAAGACGAUCCGAGCCUCUACAGAGGCGAGCUUGACGGUCUGAUGAGACAGCAAGCCCAGACGUAUCAGAAACAGAGACAAAUUUACCAGGAGCAAAACUCUGACCUGGUCAUGAUCUACGGUCAUCCCCAGGCGGUCGAGCCUUCGCGGGUAAUCCAACAGCAUCCCCAACAUCCCCAGCAUCCCCAGCAUCACAUGCCUCAGCACCAGGUCUCCGGAUCUCACCCCGGCGGGCAGGGACCCACCUCUGGUGUUCAACCCGGUGUUCAACCGCAAAGGAGCUUCAGCAGCAGCGAAGAGGAGCUUCGAAGCACACCCGAGUGUGCCAGUGACGAACCUGACGAGUCCGAGAAGGGGAAGGGGUACAGCUACGAGACGGGAGGGCCGACCUCGCUGUCCAGCGGAGUCCGGAGGUUUGGGCCUCACAACGGUCACACACGAACCACGUCUACGGUCAUAGGUCACAACGGCCACCAUCCCCCACGGGAACCACGAAAAGAGGAGAGCACCCUUGUCAGAAGGAGCUUCAGGAGGAGCGGGGACGAAUGGAGUGCGGAUAGUCGAAGGUUUACGGAAAGAAGGGGGAAAAAGACGGUGCGAUUCGACGGCGGUACAAACGUCGUCGGUCACGAGGAGGACUGGUCCUGGGAGGCUGACCGUCAGGGAAGUCAGGACAGCGCCACCAAGGACUCGGGUAUCGAUACCUCGAGCACCUUCACCAGCAGCGAAGAUAGCAACAGAGGAGAUCUGCCCAAGCACCCGCUGUUAUGGCAGGUAAGCAGCGACGGUCAGAAAAUGAUCGGUCACAUGAUCCUGAGGAAGUCGCAGGGCGCAGGUUCCGGCAGUAGCAGCAGUAUCCUGGGGUUGAAGGUGGUGGGCGGAAAGCUCCUCGAGAACGGUUCGAGGGGUGCGCUAAUCGAGAAGGUCAAGAAGGGGAGCACCGCGGACCUCGAGGGUCAGCUCAGACCGGGGGACGAGGUUAUCGAGUGGAACGGAAGGUCUCUACAGGCAAAGAGCUAUCAGGAGGUCUACGACAUCAUAGCCGAGUCCAGACAAGAGCCACAGGUCGAACUGAUUGUCUCAAGAAGCCUUGGUACGGCUCCGACGAAUUUGCCGGGCCCAACUUCAGCAUCGGUUCCCGCCAAAACGACGACGAGGCGCGGAGCCACGCAGGCGCAAUGGAGGCAGAAGCACGACCUGGUGGGAACCGGAAGCCAGGCUUAUCACAAAGAACUGUACGAUACUCGAGGAGAAAAACCAUCGGUACUUGUAACGUCGCCUGGUUCUCCCGACCUCCAUGCUCAGGGUAGAAACAGGCACGCGAGACACUCCGGCGGAAACGCGAAUGUCGGUGGAAGACUGCAAGUUAAGCUUGGGUUCGACACAACCGGGCUUCAGCUCAUUGUGACUUUGGUAUGUGCCGCUGGAUUGACACCCAGAGGUAACGGCCAGCCAAGGAAUCCCUACGCCAAGAUAUUCCUACUGCCUGACAAGAGUGAGAAGUCCAAACGAAGAACGAAGACUUUGGCCAACACUAACGACCCCAAGUGGAAUCAGACCUUCGUUUACAGCGGAGUCAGAAGAUCCGAGCUUCGGCAGAGGGCGCUUGAGGUUACCGUUUGGGAUUACGUCAGAUAUGGAGCGAACGACUUCCUAGGUGAGGCUGUCCUAGAGUUGGAAGUCUCUGCGUUGGAUCAAGAGCCGGAAUGGCACUACCUGGUUGCUCACGAGGAGCACAGGCACACAGGACAUUACCAAGACACAGCCGACGAGAUGGUGACGACGCCCGUUGACUGCCAUCUAAGUCCACCGUCAACGACGUCAAGAUUGAGUGAUUCCGAUACCUCGGAGUGUGACAUCACAGACUACGACGUAUCCAGGGAGCAGAGGAGAGGGGUAGAUGGUGCGAGCAUAAGCAGCAUCGGCAGUUCAUCGAGGUUUCAUAAUAUGUCGUCAGUUUAUAAGCGCCACUAUUCCAGCCCACCACCCGAGAGGGAACUCAGCGUCGAAGGAGAACACAGAAGCCGGAGAGACAUGUCGCCUCAGGGUCAUAAACGAGCUGCCCUCAUGCUGUCCAGGGAUCAACAGCCUGCCUCCAUUUCCGACUAUCACCAGUACCGCAAGGACGACACGACGCACAGGGGUGCGAUGGGCCAUCGAUCGCACAGCGCAGCACCCAUGGACUCGCCUAGUGUUCACUACCGAGGUCGGUCGCAAAGUCCAACAGGACAUCAUAGGUCAUUAUCGCCCCCCGAGCAUCGAACAGUGCCCUACUCGCACGGCUACGGGUCCAGGUUCGGCUCAAGGUCAGCGACGGCGACGCCGACCGGUUCGCCGAAAAAGAGACAACUGCCCCAAAUACCAGCAAAUCUGCACGCCGCACUCAAAGAGAGAGUCACUCAGGACUUGGAAGAGAGAACGAAGUUCAUAAAGCACAGGACAAGACAAUUCCACACAACCUACAGGAGCACGGGAAUGGGAGGAUGGGAAAGACACUAUAGCGGACUGUCGGAUUCGGACUUACCAUCAAUGCGGCAAGACCCGUUGACGAUAAGUAACGUCCAUCCUCACAGAAUCCAUCACCGUCCUCGGCGCCACCUGAGUCCAGACAAAGACGUCUUGGGCGAUUUCGGGGACUCUGAUAUGGAGAGCAUCGGCUCGGUGACGAGCAGCGCUCUCAGUACCCAGUCCGAGAGGCCACGAGGGUCGAGAGGACGAAUCCCGACAGUUAAAAACGUUUUUAUACCUGGUGUCAUAUCUCCCGCCGCCCCGUUGCCCCCUAGGCGCAAUAGGCGCAGGCACAGACUUAGGGUACCCUGUAGCGAAUGCCACUGCCCAUUGUCAAACAACCCUCCGAAAUCUAGACCGAUUUCAAAAUACUCCCAGCUCCCGACGAGCCACCCCCAAAUUCAUUUUCCCCCGCACCCCCUAGUUCGGAGCAAAUCCGCAGUAGUACGCUCGCUAUACAAGAAAAUGAAGACGCCAUUCACACGAUCGCGAACGGUGGACGAGAACCUGCUGCGAUACUACAGCCCGGAAACGAGCGAGUACAGCAUAACUCCGGGCUACAUGCUGCGACCUGAGAACCUGGGUGUGAACUCACGGCGACGAAUACCGGAAAUAUAUGUCGAGGACUGCCUCAGGGUCGACUUUAGAAACGACCUUAUGAGCAGAUUUCGAGCAAAACUACCUGCUGGAGUAUCGUCGACCUUCUCGUCGCGAUUUCCGCAGAUGAGCAGAAGCUUUCCUACGAGCUACAACAUUCGUGGAUUUGGCGGAAGACCUUCGAUCCCGAGGACGAAAAGCUGUGAAUAUGAAACCAUUCCAGAUGACCUGUUGACAGGGGCCAGGAAAUUCCUGUCUCAGAGGGCGAAAAGCUUCGAGUACGAGUCUUUACCGCAGAGUAUAUUCAGCGACGACAGUCUGCGUACGGCUCGCAGGAAGCUGAAAAGAAAUCUAUCUCUGAACGACUCGGGCUACGACGAGACCAUCGAGGCCCUCCAGGACCAGAGCAAGCCGUAUUACGACCCGAUGACCGAGAAUAAGUCGCACCAGACGCUGCCAUACUAUGGAUAUGACAGUGAGCUGAGCGGUGCUGAAACAGAGAUAAACCUUUCCUCGAGCCUCGAGAGACAGAGCCUGGGGUCGAUGGUCUUUGGCAAUGAUUCCGGGCGGGGUGACGACGCCGGAAAGAGAAAAUACCGGGACUCGGACUACUCCGAGGCAUAUUUCGGGUCCGGACCCCAGAGGACCCUAGAAAAGCGGCCGAAGGGCUCGGACUCGAGGCUGUCCAAAGACUCUUCGUCCAGGGAACACAUCUACUGCAGCAUUGAUGACGAGCUCGGUUCGAAUGAGCGACUUGAAGAGCGGCGGCGACCGCGUACCAAGAGUAACGACUCCUACCUCGACUUCGAACGUUACGAGAGAUGUCGCAUAUGUGAAAAGAGCGAGCGGUGGAGCGAUGAGCCGUUCGACUUCGGCUCUCCCGAGUCCGAGGUACGAGGCAGUGAAGAGUUACCUGAGCUUAUUGGAAUCGAGGAUGUCGACACUGUUAGACCGCCUCAGUGCCGCUUUGAGGACUAUGAGGAGGACCGACGGCUGACUGGGUUCGCGGCGAAGACUGUCUACGAAACCAGGAGGCAAAGCCUCUCGGUGCCCAGUCUUCGCGAGAGCAAAAGACUCACGGCAAGAGCCGAGUCUUCGCCUCAGCUCUACUCCGACGAUGAUUUCGGGUCCUCGGAAACCGUUGUGCAUCUUUCUCCGCGAAGGAAGUCGAACCAUGCUCGGGGCUCCAGGUCUGCCCCGGAGUUUUGUAACUCUGACGAGGACGAGUUCGGGUCCAGGGACACUGUGGUCGCUUACAAUUUGCGUCGGCGGAACAGCAGCUGCCCGGAAACUAGGGACCUUGGCGAUAGGAGCGUGAAGCGGAACGUCGCGAUAAGCGACACCCUCGAGUACUACGAGUACUCAAUGGAGAGCGAGAGCCAGUGCAGCGAGAACUGCGGAUUUGAUCCCGGCAACCCUCGUAGAGCGUCCCCGCGUGCCUCCGGCACUUCCGGCCCCCAAGCCCCCGACCCAACCCCCCCCAGUAUUGCUAAUUCAAUUGUCUUUGAUUCCCUUUCCGCCAACUCCGACACUGCUAAAAACGCUCGGGCCGCCAACGACGCGAAUCCGACCGAAACUCGAUCCGCGUCCCACCGCGCUGACACCAAUUCCGACGCGGAACGGAACGAACCCCAUCGAUGGUCAUCUUCUGUACCUGAGAGCAGAGACUACGUACCUUCCAAUCCCUACGAGGCCUCGUCUAGGCACGGGGUCACUGGUAACGGGCAUUCCAGCAAACGGGGACAGUUCACGAGGAGCUUCAGCAACGCUGAUGUACCACCGGAUGAGAAAGUUGUUAAUUUUCUGUCACCAGACGGUAGCCUGAGCGAUACGGCAGUGAGUUUACACGUCGAAGACACUUCGAGAAGGGGUAGAAAAAGUUCGCCAGGUAGUAAGAGCGGCAGCGGAAGUAGCAGCGGUGGCGGAAGUGCAGUUCAAUACCAGUCCUCCGGUCUGGGAAAGAAGAGCAACAGUACGAGCCAGCUUUCAGCGACAGUCGCAAACGAAACAGUACGCCGAGCAGCAUUCAACGCUCCCAGGAGGUAGUCCCCACCUACCAGAGAUUAGGCUCGUCGAGGCCUCAGGGGGCCUCAUCUGUUACCAGCGACAUCGCAGGCAGCCUCAACUCUAUCUCUAGUUCCGAAGGAAGCUCCUGGUCGCCUGGCCUCAGAAUGGCAAGUGAAGGAGGUCAGCUGAGUGACUUUAUCGGGGGUCUUGGUCCCGGACAACUAGUCGGACGGCAAGUGCUCGGCGCGCCGUCUCUCGGCGAAAUCCAGCUCUCUAUGUGCUAC